rnacentral:rRNA from 1 species
CGGUUUCGGCCGGGGAUCAGUGGCGAACUGGUGAGUAACACGUGGGCAACCUGACCUGCACUCUGGGAUAAGCCCGGGAAACUGGGUCUAAUACCGGAUACGACUUCCCAUCGCAUGGUGGGAGGUGGAAAGUUCCGGCGGUGCAGGAUGGGCCCGCGGCCUAUCAGCUUGUUGGUGGGGUAAUGGCCUACCAAGGCGACGACGGGUAGCCGGCCUGAGAGGGCGACCGGCCACACUGGGACUGAGACACGGCCCAGACUCCUACGGGAGGCAGCAGUGGGGAAUAUUGCGCAAUGGGCGAAAGCCUGACGCAGCGACGCCGCGUGAGGGAUGACGGCCUUCGGGUUGUAAACCUCUUUCAGCAGGGAAGAAGCGCAAGUGACGGUACCUGCAGAAGAAGCACCGGCUAACUACGUGCCAGCAGCCGCGGUAAUACGUAGGGUGCGAGCGUUGUCCGGAAUUAUUGGGCGUAAAGAGCUCGUAGGCGGCUUGUCACGUCGGAUGUGAAAACCCGGGGCUCAACCCCGGGCCUGCAUUCGAUACGGGCAGGCUAGAGUUCGGCAGGGGAGACUGGAAUUCCUGGUGUAGCGGUGAAAUGCGCAGAUAUC